rnacentral:rRNA from 1 species
CCUACGGGAGGCAGCAGUAGGGAAUAUUGCUCAAUGGGGGAAACCCUGAAGCAGCAACGCCGCGUGGAGGAUGAAGGUUUUCGGAUUGUAAACUCCUUUUGUUAGAGAAGAUAAUGACGGUACCUAACGAAUAAGCACCGGCUAACUCCGUGCCAGCAGCCGCGGUAAUACGGAGGGUGCAAGCGUUACUCGGAAUCACUGGGCGUAAAGAGCGCGUAGGCGGGAUAGCAAGUCAGAUGUGAAAUGCUAUGGCUUAACCAUAGAACUGCAUUUGAAACUGGUACUCUAGAGUAUGGGAGAGGUAGGUGGAAUUCUUGGUGUAGGGGUGAAAUGCGUAGAGAUCAAGAGGAAUACUCAUUGCGAAGGCGACCUGCUAGAACAUAACUGACGCUGAUGCGCGAAAGCGUGGGGAGCAAACAGGAUUAGAUACCCUUGUAGUC